rfam:Pseudomonas cremoricolorata strain ND07, complete genome.
UGUUAUGGCGGCUGUGCGUGGGAGACCUCCGGGUCUGCCGGUUUCCUUAUGUACCGGUUCGCCAACCUGCGCACAGCUGCCACCCUA